rnacentral:lncRNA from 1 species
CUAGGGGGUGCAUAGGAGGAGCCUCCUCACAUUCAGGAAGGAGGUGUGGAACAGAGGCUCUUCCCAGGGCUCUUUCUGCCUCUGGAUGUUGGUGUUGAUGAUGUGAUGUCUGGAGCUGUUGCAACCACCUUGCUACCAGCUUGAGGCUGAAGCUUCAAGAACAGGAAGCCCCCAUAUUGUAUGAGCCUCAGGCCCUGCAGCACCUGGUCUGCCUGUGAUCAUGAAGAGAGUCCACCUGCCCAAGGAAAGACUGUGCCGUCUCAUGCUUCCCAGGCCUCCGAUGCACUCAUCCCUCCUUCCAGAGUGAUUUCUCUAUGCUGGGUGAGGGGUUUCCAACCUCUGCAGUUUCCAUCUUUUACCUCUGAUCUGGUGCAUGAUUUUUUCUAAAGGAACUCUUAGAAGACACUUAACAUGACCUGAUCAGGAACCUUCUUUAGCUUCUUCCAAGGACACAGCUCAGUGCCCAGAAGAUGGACCUGUUCACUCUCAGCUUCCCCGCAUCCUGCUCUGUUCCAAGGGAGCAGACACACAGGGAAAAGUCGGGGGAGUCCUGUGCAGAACCCCGACGUCACACCAUCUUCCCCAAGGAAGAUAGAAUUGUGUCAGAAAGGGACUGUUUUUCAAAAAAUCAGCUGUUCAUUGUGUGCCUGGAUGGUGGUCCCUUUGGUCAAUAAACCCUUCAUCCACAUGGAAAAUUAUGAGCACUUCCGUGCAAGAAAGACUUUGCCCCCAACCACAACAUCUGUGCACCUGCUGCUCUGCCCUCAGCCGCUCUCUCCCAGUAGAAGCCUGAAUCACUAAGUGCACCCUCCACUGAGAGGAUGAGGCCCAGAUUUGACUCCCCCGCUCAUGGCUGCCUGGGCGCUGCUACACUUCCCACAUCACAGACUCAGUUAAAUCCCAUGGGGGUGGAGAGGAAAUGGAAGCAGAUGCUGCUCACUCUCCCUGCCAGACCAUUCUCCUCCUGGCUUCCUAGGUGCAGCACGGUGGGUGCUGGCCUCAGGGCUGUUUCAGCAGCUUCCUCUUUGUCAUUUCCCUCUCAGUGUUCAUGGCAGCCACCCUUGGUCAAUGCAGC